rnacentral:rRNA from 1 species
AUUGAACGCUGGCGGCAUGCCUUACACAUGCAAGUCGAACGGUAACAGGUCUUCGGAUGCUGACGAGUGGCGAACGGGUGAGUAAUACAUCGGAACGUGCCUAGUAGUGGGGGAUAACUACUCGAAAGAGUGGCUAAUACCGCAUGAGAUCUACGGAUGAAAGCAGGGGAUCGCAAGACCUUGUGCUACUAGAGCGGCCGAUGGCAGAUUAGGUAGUUGGUGGGAUAAAAGCUUACCAAGCCGACGAUCUGUAGCUGGUCUGAGAGGACGUUCAGCCACACUGGGACUGAGACACGGCCCAGACUCCUACGGGAGGCAGCAGUGGGGAAUUUUGGACAAUGGGCGCAAGCCUGAUCCAGCAAUGCCGCGUGCAGGAUGAAGGCCUUCGGGUUGUAAACUGCUUUUGUGCGGAACGAAAAGCCCUGGGUUAAUACCCUGGGGUCAUGACGGUACCGUAAGAAUAAGCACCGGCUAACUACGUGCCAGCCGCCGCCGUAAUAC